rnacentral:rRNA from 1 species
UGGUCAAGUUAUUAAGGGUGCAGGGCGGAUGCCUUGGCAGUAGGAGCCGAUGAAGGACGUGAUAAGCUGCGAUAAGCUUCGGGGAGUUGCACGUAAACUUUGAUCCGAAGAUUUCCGAAUGAGGAAACUCACUUAGAGUAAUGUCUAAGUAUCAUUAAGUGAAUACAUAGCUUAAUGAGGGGAACUCAGGGAACUGAAACAUCUAAGUACCUGAAGGAAGAGAAAGAAAUUCGAUUCCGUAAGUAGCGGCGAGCGAANGCGGAUUAGCCCAAACCAAUAAAGUUUUCUUUAUUGGUGUUGGGGACAGAUCAUAACGAAGAG